rnacentral:miRNA from 1 species
CCGAGGCAGCCUGGCUCAGUGGAAAGGCAACGCGCUUUAGAGCCAGACUGCCUGGGUUU